rnacentral:misc_RNA from 1 species
CCGAGUACCGGGUCUCUCAGGCCCUUACUCCCACCCUUUUGUGUACCUUACCAAAUAUCUUCAGUUGCCUUGGUGGAUCGACCUCCCUCAUUCCAAUCUCCUCCGGGGGAAAGGUUUUAGGGGCGUCACCACCAGGGGGACCUCUUUAAACUCUUAUGAAUUGAGUCGUCUGAGAAAAAAACAAAUAAAUUA